rnacentral:rRNA from 1 species
AACGAACGCUGGCGGCAUGCCUUACACAUGCAAGUCGAACGGCAGCACGGGAGCAAUCCUGGUGGCGAGUGGCGAACGGGUGAGUAAUAUAUCGGAACGUGCCCAGUCGUGGGGGAUAACGCAGCGAAAGCUGUGCUAAUACCGCGUACGAUCUGUGGAUGAAAGCGGGGGACUCGCAAGGGCCUCGCGCGAUUGGAGCGGCCGAUAUCAGAUUAGCUAGUUGGUGGGGUAAAGGCCCACCAAGGCGACGAUCUGUAGCUGGUCUGAGAGGACGACCAGCCACACUGGAACUGAGACACGGUCCAGACUCCUACGGGAGGCAGCAGUGGGGAAUUUUGGACAAUGGGCGCAAGCCUGAUCCAGCAAUGCCGCGUGCAGGAUGAAGGCCUUCGGGUUGUAAACUGCUUUUGUACGGAGCGAAACGGUCUGCCCUAAUACGGUGGGCUAAUGACGGUACCGUAAGAAUAAGCACCGGCUAACUACGUGCCAGCCGCCGCAGUAACAC